rnacentral:piRNA from 1 species
UAAAUAAAGCUUUAAUUUAUGAUGAACCU